rnacentral:tRNA from 1 species
GCCACCGUCGCUCAAUGGCGGAGCAGCUGCUUGAAACGCAGUAGCCUUAACGGGUAUAUAGGUUCGAAUCCUGUGCACGGCG